ACAACUCAGGUCUGUGGUUGCAAGUCGAUGCCAGUUGCAGGCGAAACGAUCCACGUAAGCAGCAAAAUUUUGCUGUGAGCACGGUGCAGCUUAGAAGUAAGUCCUGCCGCAAAAAAAAUUAUGGGCGAGAGAGGUAGUAGUGGGGAGCGGAAUGCUUAGGAGCGAACCUUCCAGCAGGCGAGUGUGGGGGCGAAAACCAGGUCAGCUGAGUUGU
rnacentral:ncRNA from 12 species